AAGACACUGCAUAAAAAGAUGAAAUCAGCUGGCAGCACCCUCUGACCGCCUUAAACUUCCCAGAGAGGCAAAGAAAAGGACUCUCCUGAGCUCAGAGCUUUCUCAAGAGCUCUUGAAUUUGGCCUCUCUCAUUCCUGAUUUGCAGCAGCACUUUCUCUUCAUCUGUCAUCAGGAGAUCUGGAAGAAAUAUGCGAGCAUCUCUACCCUGGAUUUUUCUUUGUGGUGUUGUGUGUAUGUUUAAGAACUCAAAAUACCUCAGAGACCAUGAUGAUGGUGAAGCUGACUACGAAGGUGAUGAUGCCUCUGCUCUCUGCAAUGAUGCCUGGCAUUGAGUGAACAUUCCAUUCACUGUGCUCACCAACUGGAUACCCGUGUCCUCUUAAUCCUCAGAUAUUCUGUUUCUCUUGGACCACUUGCUCUGGGGGAAGCCAUCAGCCACGCUGUGAGGCAACUCAGUGGAGACAUCCAAGAAGCAAGGAAGCGAAGAAGGCCUCCAGCCAAGAGCUAGCAAGGAACUGAGGUCCUCAGUCCAACACCUGUGAGGAAUAGAGGCGCAUGUGAGUAGCUGAGAAGUGGAUACUUUUCUAAUUGUCUUCAGAUGAAACUAUGGCCCAUUGUGAACACAACCUCCUGAGAGACCUUAAAUCAGAGCCACCCAAGCUUGCCGUACCCAGAUUCCUGACUCAGAAAUUGUGAGAUAAUACAUGUUUGUUAAUUUUAGCUGCUAUGUUUGGGGGUGAUGUCUUACUCAAAGAUAGAUAACUAAUACAUCCCAGCACUUAAAAUAAUGCUCUGCAAAUACUGGUUGAAUGAAUGCAUGAAUAACAAAUAUAUGGCCAAAUGCAGAGGACAAAAGAAAGAAAAUACACAAAAUCAUUGACAGUGAUUGUCUCUGGAUAGAUUUGUAGGCCCAUGGGUGAUUAUUUUUAAGUAUUUAUCAUUCCCAUACUUUGCCCCAGCUUUUUAUUGUGAAAUAUAACACAAAGACAUAACAUUGCAUAAAUAAACAGCUUGAUGGAGUUGAUUACAAAACCAGCAUGUAUGUAACCAGGUGAAAGAAUAGAGUAUUGCCUGCAGCACGGAAUCAUGAGAUUCUUUUUAAAAAUGUUUUUUUCUUCAUAUUCCCCCCAAAAGGUAUGUAUUACUUUCUCUGUCAAUUCUUUAAAAAAAUGUUUUUAUUGGGGGCUGGCCCCGUGGCCGAGUGGUUAAGUUCGCGCACUCCGCUGCAGGCGGCCCAGUGUUUCGUUAGUUCGAAUCCUGGGCGCGGACAUGGCACUGCUCGUCAGACCACGCUGAGGCAGCAUCCCACAUGCCACAACUAGAAGAACCCACAACAAAGAAUACACAACUAUGUACGGGGGGGCUGUGGGGAGAAAAAGGGAA
rnacentral:lncRNA from 1 species